AGCCGAAACGCCCUCCGGGGCGUCAUCGGGGGGAGCCCUCCCCCGGUCUGAAGAUGGCAGGGCACG
rnacentral:hammerhead_ribozyme from 2 species